CGUGGGUAACCUGCCCAAGAGAUCGGGAUAACACCUGGAAACAGAUGCUAAUACCGGAUAACAACAGAUGAUGCCUAUCAACUGUUUAAAAGAUGGUUCUGCUAUCACUCUUGGAUGGACCUGCGGUGCAUUAGCUAGUUGGUAGGGUAACGGCCCACCAAGGCGAUGAUGCAUAGCCGAGUUGAGAGACUGAUCGGCCACAUUGGGACUGAAACACGGCCCAAACUCCUACGGGAGGCAGCAGCC
rnacentral:rRNA from 1 species